CGAGUUUGAUCCUGGCUCAGAUUGAACGCUGGCGGAAUGCUUUACACAUGCAAGUCGAACGGCAGCACGGGGGCAACCCUGGUGGCGAGUGGCGAACGGGUGAGUAAUACAUCGGAACGUGCCCAGUCGUGGGGGAUAACGUAGCGAAAGCUACGCUAAUACCGCAUACGAUCUACGGAUGAAAGCGGGGGAUCGCAAGACCUCGCGCGAUUGGAGCGGCCGAUGGCAGAUUAGGUAGUUGGUGGGUAAAGGCUCACCAAGCCUUCGAUCUGUAGCUGGUCUGAGAGGACGACCAGCCACACUGGGACUGAGACACGGCCCAGACUCCUACGGGAGGCAGCAGUGGGGAAUUUUGGACAAUGGGCGAAAGCCUGAUCCAGCCAUUCCGCGUGCAGGAUGAAGGCCCUCGGGUUGUAAACUGCUUUUGUACGGAACGAAACGGCCUUUUCUAAUACAGAGGGCUAAUGACGGUACCGUAAGAAUAAGCACCGGCUAACUACGUG
rnacentral:rRNA from 1 species